CCUACGGGUGGCUGCAGUGGGGAAUAUUGCGCAAUGGGCGAAAGCCUGACGCAGCGACGCCGCGUGAGGGAUGAAGGUCUUCGGAUCGUAAACCUCUGUCAGCAGGGAAGAACGGUCACUGUGCUAAUCAGCAGUGAAUUGACGGUACCUGCAAAGGACGCACCGGCUAACUCUGUGCCAGCAGCCGCGGUAAUACGGAGGGUGCGGGCGUUAAUCGGACUUACUGGGCGUAAAGCGCUCGUAGGCGGUAUGUCAAGUCAAGGGUGAAAUCCCCGGGCUAAACGUGGGAACUGCAUUUGAUACUGACAAACUGGAGUGUGUGAGAGGAUAGUGGAAUUCCAGGUGUAGGAGUGAAAUGCGUAGAUAUCUGGAGGAACAUCAGUGGCGAAGGCGACUAUCUGGCACAUAACUGACGCUGAGGAGCGAAAGCGUGGGUAGCAAACAGGAUUAGAUACCCCAGUAGUC
rnacentral:rRNA from 1 species